UCGCGGAUCUCCGCACACACAAGCUCAUCGGCCACGCAUACACAGAUACCCCCAACGUGCCUGUGGCAAUGUCGGGAGUAUUGUCGACACCGCUGACGCCGUCGUACCGCAGCUCUGCCGCACCGUACCGUGAGGCGCGUUUCGGCCAUGCUAGCGGCGUCUUACGCCCGCAUCGGGCCCCGCUUAACCGGGGAAUCCGUCGCACCGCGGAGUGCCCCUGUGCGGUGCGACUGUACCACAUGACGGGCCAAGACAUCGCUGCUCGCAGCGAGUACUGCAGCGUUGUCUUGGGAGCCCCUUCUGUGGGCAUCUCCCAAGGAGUGCAACCGGGAGCACCGUCACCGCCACCCGGCGGCCAAGCGGUGGCUGCGGCGGGUGCAGGGCCGUCGCUGGCGUCGACUGCCGGCGCUUCUGCCGCGGAGCGGCCUAUCGCGGUGCAGCUCGCCUGGGCGGACACCACCGUGUGGGAGGUCGCCUCGACGGCUCUCCGGGCGGUUCGAUCGAAGGUGGAUGCUGCGUACAAGUCCGACAGGAAGCGUGCGGCGCGGCAGGCGAAUGGCCACAUCACCUCGCCCGCGUCGGCCACGCCGGGUCGACGGCAACAGGGAGCCGAGGAGGAUGACAACGACAGCGAAGACGUUGAGGAAGAGGCGCCGUAUUCGACUCCUCUCCCGCGUUACCAGGUGGAGCUGCUGACCGGCACAGUGAGCCCUGAAGGUCGGGCAUCGGUCUUGCCGCUCUGCAUGGUUAACUGUCGCCAAGUCGUCUAUGGCCAUUCGGCGUUGCUGCCCGUGCGCAGGGGCGACUGUGUGGACUACAACACAGCCCUGUAUGAGCUGCCCUACAACCUCGGCGACCCGGUCUUUGUGACUUGCACCCGCACCCGGUGACUAGGCGAACGGUGAUGAUAAAAAGAGCUGCUGCCUCACAUGGAGCGGGGCUGUCGAUGCUGUAACAAGGCAGUCGUCGCCACGUAUGCUGCUGCUGUGGCUUCACGGCGCGUAGGGGGCUUGGUUUGCCGUUCUGUCUCGGUGUGUGUGUGUGUGUGUGCACGUAUGCCAAUAGCCGACCCGCUUCUCUGCGUGAACGGGCGAGGACGGUAAAAUACGUCAACGGAGGGGGGAGUGCGCCUGUGAUGUAGAACACCUUUCACGGCCGUGGAGGACGAUCUCAUGCUUGGUGUGCAGGUGUGGACGUGUAACAGCGCACGACUACAAGCAACCAAUCACGCAAAGACCCAGACGCCCAUCACGCAUCUGAUGCUCAGCGCGGGACAGAGGGGCGGCCACAAUACCUGUUUUUUUACUUGUGCCCAAUAAUGUGAUCAACGCAGUUUUGUUCUUUUUCUCUGUCUGUAUUGGUUGUGC
rnacentral:misc_RNA from 1 species